GGGAAUCAAUGUUGUGGAAAAAAUGGAUCUCAUGGAAACAGGAAACUUCUCAGUCAAGAGCAAGCAUCAGAGAUGUCUAGAAAAGUGAUAGCUCGUGUGCUAACAAAUGUGGGGUUUGAAGCUUCUUCAGAAGUCCCAAUGGAAGUCUUGUCUCAGUUGCUGAGUUGUCAUAUUGGUAAGCUAGGCCGUAUCUUGAAAGUCUUUUCUGAUAGUUACAGAAAACAGUGCUCAGCCAUCGAACUACUCAAGAUGUUCCUUCAAACAGCGGGGUAUAGUAAUCUUGGGGCUUUAGCAGAGCUCGUGAAGGAUAGUAUGAGGAAUUCUGUGCAACAAACUCAUCAACAAAUGCAGGUUAUCCAGUCACAGAUACAGUCACAGCAGCAGGCGCCCCUUCGACAACCCUAGCAAGCUGGCAAGGUCGGACAGGCUUGAUGGUGUCUGCUUACCUUGUUUAUAGUGGCAUGUCAGCAGAGGAGGCUCUU